UUAAAAGCAAAUUAUUAUUAUUUAUCUGCAGAGAGAAGAGUCGAAUCCUUUUCUUUCUUGUACAUUUAGUACACUAACAGGUGCUAAGUUCUGCUAAUAAAAGCAGUCAAUAUAAGUAAAUGGAAUCAAAGCAGCACUCACAAGUGGAAGGAAUGACGUUAUGACUGCAACCAGUUCCAGUUUCUUAAAGUUUUUCAGUUUCUUUAGGUGCACAAUACAAAGAUAGAGAGUAAUGGUUAACCAGAAGGUAAAUCCAACAUUAAUAUAAUAGGCAGUGUGAGGCAGGAAUACAGCCACAGCUCUAUAUAUCCAUGAGUCAUCAUAUCCAAGAAACAGACUCUCUGACAGAGAGAAGACUAACAUUGUAACCAGUUUGUACACUAUCAGUCUUUGUACAAUAUCUUUAUAGAAUCUACUGACUAUUGCAAAGACCAGGGCCACUAUACAUGUUAUGACUCCUAGACCACCAAAGACUCCGAGUUUUACCCAUUACAGACUUUAUGGACCAAAAAGAAAUGAGAAGAGAUAAAAAGAAAGGGCACCUUUGCAGCAGUGAAAAAGCAAUAGCCUACAACAAAACUAUAGUUACAGAAAAACUAAUGCAAGUUCAAGCUGUUAAAAUAACACAUAGUACAAUAUCACCAAAAGAGUUCAUGAUAUCAGUGAACCCUUGAUUACACAAGCCACACAUACAGAUAUUACAGUAUAAAUCAUGUAAUAACACACCAAUGAUGUGUACUAUAGUUAACAUUAU